AUUGAACGCUGGCGGCAGGCCUAACACAUGCAAGUCGAACGAGUGGCGGACGGGUGAGUAAUGUCUGGGACACUGCCUGAUGGAGGGGGAUAACUACUGGCAACGGUAGCUAAUACCGCAUACCAUCGGAUUUGCCCAGAUGGGAUUAGCUAGUAGGUGGGGUAACGGCUCACCUAGGCGACGAUCCCUAGCUGUUCUGAGAGGAUGACCAGCCAAACUGGAACUGAGAAACGGGCCAGACUCCGACGGGAGGCAGCAGUGGGGAAUAUUGCACAAUGGGCGCAAGCCUGAGGCAGCCAUGCCGCGUGUAUGAAGAAGGCCUUCGGGUUGUAAAGUACUUUCAGCGGGGAGGCGUUACCCGCAGAAGAAGCACCGGCUAACUCCGUGCCAGCAGCCGCGGUAAUUC
rnacentral:rRNA from 1 species